UACGAGGGGGGCAAGCGUUUGUUCGGAAUUAUUGGGCGUAAAGGGUGCGUAGGCGGUUUGGUAAGUCUUAUGUGAAAUCUACAGGCUCAACUUGUAGUCUGCAUGAGAAACUGCCGGGCUUGAGUAUGGGAGAGGUGAGUGGAAUUCCUGGUGUAGCGGUGAAAUGCGCAGAUAUCAGGAAGAACACCCGUGGCUAAGGCGGCUCUCUAGUACGGUACUGACGCUGAGACGCGAAAGCGUGGGGAGCGAACAGG
rnacentral:rRNA from 1 species